rnacentral:rRNA from 1 species
AGUGGGGGAUAACAUUUGGAAACAGAUGCUAAUACCGCAUAGAUCCAAGAACCGCAUGGUUCUUGGCUGAAAGAUGGCGUAAGCUAUCGCUUUUGGAUGGACCCGCGGCGUAUUAGCUAGUUGGUGAGGUAAUGGCUCACCAAGGCGAUGAUACGUAGCCGAACUGAGAGGUUGAUCGGCCACAUUGGGACUGAGACACGGCCCAAACUCCUACGGGAGGCAGCAGUAGGGAAUCUUCCACAAUGGACGCAAGUCUGAUGGAGCAACGCCGCGUGAGUGAAGAAGGCUUUCGGGUCGUAAAACUCUGUUGUUGGAGAAGAAUGGUCGGCAGAGUAACUGUUGUCGGCGUGACGGUAUCCAACCAGAAAGCCACGGCUAACUACGUGCCAGCAGCCGCGGUAAUACGUAGGUGGCAAGCGUUAUCCGGAUUUAUUGGGCGUAAAGCGAGCGCAGGCGGUUUUUUAAGUCUGAUGUGAAAGCCCUCGGCUUAACCGAGGAAGCGCAUCGGAAACUGGGAAACUUGAGUGCAGAAGAGGACAGUGGAACUCCAUGUGUAGCGGUGAAAUGCGUAGAUAUAUGGAAGAACACCAGUGGCGAAGGCGGCUGUCUGGUCUGUAACUGACGCUGAGGCUCGAAAGCAUGGGUAGCGAACAGGAUUAGAUACCCUGGUAGUCCAUGCCGUAAACGAUGAAUGCUAGGUGUUGGAGGGUUUCCGCCCUUCAGUGCCGCAGCUAACGCAUUAAGCAUUCCGCCUGGGGAGUACGACCGCAAGGUUGAAACUCAAAGGAAUUGACGGGGGCCCGCACAAGCGGUNUGGAGCAUGUGGUUUAAUUCGAAGCAACGCGAAGAACCUUACCAGGUCUUGACAUCUUUUGAUCACCUGAGAGAUCAGGUUUCCCCUUCGGGGGCAAAAUGACAGGUGGUGCAUGGUUGUCGUCAGCUCGUGUCGUGAGAUGUUGGGUUAAGUCCCGCAACGAGCGCAACCCUUAUGACUAGUUGCCAGCAUUUAGUUGGGCACUCUAGUAAGACUGCCGGUGACAAACCGGAGGAAGGUGGGGAUGACGUCAA